ACCUGUCUGGCUAAGUUAGUAAAGCAUAUGACUCUUAAUCUUGGGGUUGUGAGUUUGAGCCCCAUGGUGAGUG
rnacentral:tRNA from 1 species